GGCUUCUCCGGUGGCGCUAGAGGUAAAGAACCCGCCUGACUAAUGCAGGCAGAACUAAGAGACAGGGGGGUCGGUCCCUGGGUCGGGAAGAUUCCCCUGGAGAAGGAAUGGCAACCCACUCCAGUGUUCUUGCCUGGAGCAUCCCAUGGACAGAGGAGCCUGGUGGGCUACAGUCCAUGGGGUCGCAGGGUCGGAAGCAUCCUGGGCGGAAGCAAAACGGCCUUGAGCGGCAGCUUGGAACUUUGACACCGACAGGAUUUUUUUUUUUAAUCCCCCCCCCCACACCCCAACAAGUCGACAAAAUCGCAGAUAUGGCCAGAAUCCCGGAACAGCCCCCGCCCUCCGUCGUCUUCUGAACAGAGGCUGCCUCCGAGGACGCCGCCUUGGACUCGGUCGCAGCUGGUUACCCUGCGCCGGGGCCGGGGACCGCCGCGCGGAGGGGCAGCGCCAGCCCCCCGCGGACACGGAAGCCGGUCCUCGGGAGAAGCGGCGCUCUCUCGGCCUCACAGCGGGGCGGGCUGAGCCGGGGGCCGACCCCAGACUCGCCCUCGUCGGUCUCGCCUCCCCCACUGCGCCUCAGCCGCAGAGGCAAAGAAGCAGGGAUAGAUAUAAGCUCUCGCGGCUCUACAAAAGGUGGAUCGAGUCCAGCAAGAACCAAGGGAGGACAUGCUGGAGGCACAGGCUGGCUGGAGUGGGAGUCUCCCUGUGCCUCCUUUUUUACUGCUAUAACAAUCUUCUGAAUUAAAUUCUCCAGCUGUUCUUCAGAAAGCCCUGAAUGCUUUAAUUCCCCUUUUCCCUAGGGGGAUUGCAUGUUAACCAUCAUUUCCCAAGGCAUAUCCUCCCUAUGGUACUGAGCCGCUUGUUCAUUUAACUCUUCCUGUUCAUCAGAGCUUAACAUAUCAUCAUUCCCUCCAGCCUUACAAGCUGUUCCCUCAGGCACAGCAUAAAGCGGCUCAGGUGGAGGGGCGGAAGGCUCUGCAACUUCGGGUUCUGUGGAAUCCCUGAGAGCCGUUUGAAUUUUAUGUCCCUCAUGUUCAGGAUCCAGACAGUCUCUUAUGAGAGUCCACAAAGAAAAAGCAUCCACAGGAACACGAUUGGGACCAUGUAUGGAAUAAUAUGUCUGCAAUUGUUUUCUUAUCUUUUUCCAAGUUUCCAGACUAACUGUUCCUUCCUCUGGAAACCAGGGACAAACCUCUUCUAUAAAAAGUAAAAACUUCUCUAGCUGUAACUUAUUUACAUGAAUUCCCCUACCUUUUAACA